GUACCAACCACUGUAUAGAGUUCUAUAUCUCUAUAGAAUUUCAAUAUCUCGAGUCGUUUUUCUUUUGCUCUUGCUUGAAUUGAAAAUAAUAAUUAUUGUUAUAUUAUGUAUCGAGGACCAAUAAUCUAUUUGUAAUAAACGUAUUUGUAGUUGGUAUUGUAGUAAAUUAGGUGGAUCGAUCUAAAUUAGAGGAUUCGCUUAUUAUUGAGUGUUUACUAAAUUGUAAGUGCGUGCCCUGGUGAAACAAACCGGGAGCUAAAAAGUAAAAUACCUAGUGUAUCGGGGAACCGCUGCAGGUAUUAAGGCGGUGUUGAUAUAAUAAUUGUUAGAAAAACAAGCGAGCGUCGUAGUGUGCGAAGCAAGUGUUGAAGUUGUCUCGUUGUGUUAGGGAGUGCGAGCCGCCGAGCUCGGAGCUGGCAUGUGGAGCCGCUGAGCCGCAACAUGCUCGCGACGGCGCGGCUCGCGCUGGCGCUGCUGUGGGCGGCGGCGGUGGCGAGGGCCGACCAUACAAUUUUGCAGCCUGGUUUCAGGUGUGAGUAAAGCACGUUUGGUCGUGGAGCAUGUACUUGCAUGUGUAGAAGUUGAGCUGGACGCGGGACGGCGGCGCUGCUGGCGCCUCGGCAUGCUGCAUGCUGGGGAGCAAUGCAUGACCUGGGCUAGUUCUUGUCUGUGUCAUCAAGCUCUGUAUUCAAAUGUAGUUACUUAUAAAUAAAUAAAAACAUUUUCUGUUGUAAUAGAUUAUAAUGGUUGACCCACGCAUGCCUAUGACAUGUUUUCUUCUUAAAAACUGAAUGUAAUUGUUUAAGUUGGAACACCACAUAAAUCCUUUCUUCACAGUUUUGACAAGUGUGAGCCAUUCAAUAGAGAAUGGAGAGUGGCUCGGUUUCAGCCAGUCAGAAACUUAAAGGAAUAAAAAGUAACUAUCUACAGUAUCCAUGACAAGUAAACCUCUGGAAAUUGCAGGUUUUUUGCUCUCCUUAUGAAUUAUGUGGUGUUCUACUUGUUAUGAUAUGCAGUGACUUUUAUUAUUAUUAUUUAUUUAUAGCAACUAAUAAUAAUUUAAGUAAAUCAGCUUGCUGUUAUAUGCUGCUGGUGCAGGAGAGUAGAAAUGCCAGGAGUCAGUACUAACAGUUCUCUUUGGGAAGCAUCUGGGUUCAUACAGGGCAUUCUGCUCAUCCUGCAGAUGUCAUUAACGGAACCAGUUCAAGUGUAAGUAUAAAACAAACAAACAUCAGAAAUGACUUUUCUGCAGAAGCAGAUCUGUGCUAAUGAGUGGAUGCUGUUUUGUUCAGUUUUUGCCUUUCCACUAAAAUGUACUUUCUCUAGCUCAAAAUCCUUGGUGCAUGUUCAUUAUAAAGGGAACUUACAUAUAAUGUAUCACCUGUAGUAGAGCCACGCGGGGCGACACACUUGCUCAGUGUUCAACACUGAAGGGUAGCCCAUCAUUUGGUAUAUUUUAUUUGAUAUGAUAUCACUCAGUGAAGCCGCCGUAGAAACCAAGCAAUGUCAAAAUAUAAGCUCGGGGGCUGGCAUUCAGUAUUGAACACUGAGUUGGCAGAUUGGGCUAGGGCCAGCUAGGCAGUCAGUUGUUCUUAUAUUGAAAGAUAGAGGUAGGUACUAACUACUAAUAGACAUAAAACACUUGUAUGUACUCUAAUAUACUUUUAUUCGACUG